CGCUCGCUUAAUAUCCACACUAAAAUCUAAAAGCCGAUCUUAGUGUCCAUCGGAAAGCCUUAUAAGCUUAUAGAUUUUUGCAAAUAUUUAAUAACUGGUUUACUUAAAAAUGAAAUCUCAAUUUCAGAGAUUUUCUACCAGAAAUAGAGCUAAAUGUUACUAUAUGUAUAUACUGUUACCACACACUUCGACUAGUCCUAACAAAUUCUCUAGAACAGUGACGCCAACGAUGAACAACAAUCCCUGAGUAGCAAUUCUUUAAAAUCACCGGUAAUUGUACAUGAGCAUGGGAUUCAUUUGAUAAAUUGUCAUAGGCAUAUAAAAUGUACUCACCUCUGAGGCGAAGAAUAUGUAUGUGUCCGAUCUUGCUUGCACUGCCAUGGUCUAUUUAUAAACACAAUGAGUCGAAAAUACGGAGAACGAACGAUUUGACUGAAAAUGUGAAACAUCUUAGGUAUGGGAGGAUGUUUCGGAAACAUUUAUAUUGAUUCUGAACCAAUGUAGAAACAUAAUUACAAAUUUUGUAUGUACUUACUUAACUAAACAGUACAAUUUCUAAAAGUA